rnacentral:rRNA from 1 species
AACGAACGCUGGCGGCAGGCCUAACACAUGCAAGUCGAACGCCGUAGCAAUACGGAGUGGCAGACGGGUGAGUAACGCGUGGGAACCCUCCCUAUGGUUCGGAAUAGCUCAGGGAAACCUGGGGUAAUACCGGAUAAGCCCUUCGGGGGAAAGAUUUAUCGCCAUUGGAUGGGCCCGCGUCGGAUUAGCUAGUUGGUAGGGUAACGGCCUACCAAGGCGACGAUCCGUAGCUGGUCUGAGAGGAUGAUCAGCCACACUGGGACUGAGACACGGCCCAGACUCCUACGGGAGGCAGCAGUGGGGAAUAUUGGACAAUGGGCGAAAGCCUGAUCCAGCCAUGCCGCGUGAGUGACGAAGGCCUUAGGGUUGUAAAGCUCUUUUGGCGGGGAAGAUAAUGACGGUACCCGCAGAAUAAGCUCCGGCUAACUUCGUGCCAGCCGCCGCCGUAAGAC